rnacentral:rRNA from 1 species
UACAGAGGGUGCGAGCGUUGUCCGGAAUCACUGGGCGUAAAGGGCGCGUAGGUGGCGAGCCAAGUCCAUGGUGAAAGCUCGAUGCUCAACAUCGAGUCGGCCACGGAUACUGGUGCGCUUGAGCACUGUAGAGGCUAAUGGAAUUCCGGGUGUAGCGGUGGAAUGCGUAGAGAUCCGGAAGAACACCGGUGGCGAAGGCGGUUAGCUGGGCAGUUGCUGACACUGGAGGCGCGACAGCGUGGGGGA